rnacentral:rRNA from 1 species
AAAGCUCCAGUAUCGUGAGGCCAUCCAGGCGUGCUUAUUAGAGGGCAAGUUCACCAUGUACCAUGGGGCCUUCAAGAAAAUUUUUGAAGGGCCAGAUCUGGCUCUUGUGGUGAACGAGGUAUAUAAAGAGUUUCUGAAUGUUCUGGAUGUGUCGAGUCAAGUAAAAUCUACCAAGGGUCGUAAGAAGCAGACGCCUGGUAGUCAAAGAGCAUCCAAAACUCCAACAAAUUGGAUGCGUAAGAGAGCUAUUAAGAGGGGAAAAUUUUUAAGGUACCAACUGUUGUACGAGUUACAUAGAAGGCGACUCGCCCGUGUGAUUUUGGACAACACGGAAGCCUGCCAAUGCCAGUUACCACCUAGUAUUGUCCAUGAACACUUUAAAGAGAGGUGGGAGACAUCUGGUAUAUUUGGCCGCCUCAUGGACUUUCCUCCUUAUAUGGAGGCGGAUAAUUCCGUGUUCAAGGCGCUGAUAACUGGAAGGGAGAUUGAGAAAAACGUGAAUGAGAUGCGUAAGACCUCCGCUCCCGGGCCAGAUGGGAUUACAUUGGGUCAACUUAUUAAAAAAGACCCAGAGUUUUCCCGGUUGAGCGAAAUCUUCAACCUCUGGCUUGUUACCGGUACGAUACCAGAUGCGCUGCGGGACUGCAGGACAGUCUUGAUACCCAAGUCCUCGGAUGCCGAGAAGCUUGGUGAUAUCAAUCACUGGAGGCCUAUCACCAUUGGUUCUGUGGUGAUUAGGCUGUUUUCCAGGAUCGCUACGGCGAGGCUGUCCAAAGCAUGUCCCAUUAACCCCCGGCAACGGGGUUUUAUUUGCACAUCAGGCUGUGCCGAGAACCUCAAGUUGUUGCAACUUGUGGUAAAGACAGCAAAACGGGAGCAUAAACAUCUGGGGGUCGUGUUCGUGGACAUUGCUAAGGCUUUUGACACCGUUUGUCAUCAGCAUGUGUUAGAGGGUCUGAUCCAAAGACAGGUAGAUUCGCAUGUUGUAGAGUUGGUGAGGGAAAUGUACCGUGAUGUUAAGACGUACAUUUCCCUGGAAAGGAAAAGGACAGACCCCAUAUACAUUCGCUCCGGUGUCAAGCAAGGCGAUCCUAUGUCACCCUUGUUGUUCAACUUGGCGAUGGACCCCCUUCUGUGUAAACUCGAAAAAGAGGGUGAAGGUUUCCACCAUGGAAGUUGGAAAGUCACUGCCAUGGCGUUUGCUGAUGACCUUGUGCUGCUGAGUGACUCUUGGGAAGGCAUGUGCCGUAACAUCGAGAUACUGGAGGCCUUUUGUAAUCUUACUGGUCUUCGUACACAAGGGGAAAAGUGUCAUGGCUUUUACAUCAAGCCUACGAGGGACUCAUAUACCAUCAAUGAUUGUCCCGCUUGGAAAAUUAAUGGAAUCCCUCUUAACAUGAUCGACCCAGGGCACUCAGAGAGAUAUCUUGGCACAUGGGUGGAUCCUUGGAUCGGCUUUGCAGAUCCGGGACUAUCAGGAAAACUUACAGACUGGCUCCAUCGGAUUGGGGGUUCACCCUUGAAACCUCUUCAGAAAGUCGAUAUACUCAGGACUUAUACCAUCCCUAGACUGAUAUAUCUGGCUGACCAUACUGAAGUGAAGGUGGGCCUCCUGGAAUCCCUUGACUUAUUAAUUCGGAAUGUAGUCAAGGAAUGGCUUCAUUUGCCUCAAAGUACAUGUGAUGCGAUCCUGUACUCGAGUUUUAAGGAUGGUGGUUUAGGACUCAUCAAGCUGGCGGCGCUCAUUCCAAGUAUUCAGGCGCGGAGACUGCAUAGAUUAGCUCAGUCUUCGGAUGAGACUCUGGUGGGUUAUCUAAAAGGGAUACAGCUGGAAUGGUUAUUUGAGAAAUUGUGGUUGAAAGCCGGAGGGAAUCAGGAGUCCAUCCCGUCAAUUUGGGAGCCUUUACCAUUGGUUGAGUUGGAGGGAGGCGGUGAAGCCGGGUCAGAGUGGGAGGCACCCGUUCCUAAAGUCAGUUACCCGAGACCUUGUAACUGGAGAAAGAUCGAAUUUCAAAAGUGGGUCCAGCUGGUUGCCCAGGGCCAUGGGAUAAAGAACUUUGAGAAUGACGAGAUCAAUAAUGCCUGGAUAAGGCAGUUUAAGGGCAUACCUCACCGUAAAUUGAUCGCGGCCCUACAACUCCGAGCAAAUGUCUACCCAACAAGAGAGUUCCUGGCUAGGGGUAGACAGGAAGAUCUUGUCCAAUCAUGCCGACAUUGUGGUGCAAGAUUUGAGACCGUAGCCCACAUUGUCGGCAACUGUGCAAUCACUCAAGAUGCCAGGAUUAAGAGACAUAAUUCCAUCUGUGAAACUCUGGCUGAAGAAGCUAAAAGAGAAAAUUGGACUGUGUUUGUGGAGCCACACCUGAGGGAUGAGGUUAAGGAAUUAUUUAAACCGGACUUAAUUUUUGUUAAGGGCUCCAAAGCCGUUGUAGUGGACGUGACGGUGAGGUUUGAGCACUCUGCCUUUUCAGAGGCAGCUUCACUCAGUGAGACGUCAAAG